GAGCAACAGAAUUGAAAAUAAAUAUGUUUCAUCGAGUAUAUAACAAGAGACAUGAGUACAAUUACGCAAUUGUGGAAAACGACCUUCAUUUCUAUCUUGCUUCUGGACCCAUUUCUGUUUCAAGAUCCACAGUAAUCAUUUCAAACGAAUUGCUUAGUCUCGCUGUUUGCCCCUCCAUUCUGCAAUUCUGUUCACGAGCAAUUUCUGUUUCUAAACACUCCUUUAAUUCUGAAACUACGUGGUUCAUAGUUGGCCUUUGAAU
rnacentral:misc_RNA from 1 species